AGUGAACGCUGGCGGUAGGCCUAACACAUGCAAGUCGAACGGCAGCACAGUAAGAGCUUGCUCUUACGGGUGGCGAGUGGCGGACGGGUGAGGAAUACAUCGGAAUCUACUUUUUCGUGGGGGAUAACGUAGGGAAACUUACGCUAAUACCGCAUACGACCUACGGGUGAAGGCAGGGGAUCUUCGGACCUUGCGCGAUUGAAUGAGCCGAUGUCGGAUUAGCUAGUUGGCGGGGUAAAGGCCCACCAAGGCGACGAUCCGUAGCUGGUCUGAGAGGAUGAUCAGCAACACUGGAACUGAGACACGGUCCAGACUCCUACGGGAGGCAGCAGUGGGGAAUAUUGGACAAAGGGCGCAAGCCUGAUCCAGCCAUACCGCGUGGGUGAAGAAGGCCUUCGGGUUGUAAAGCCCUUUUGUUGGGAAAGAAAAGCAGCAGGUUAAUACCCCGCUGUUCUGACGGUACCCAAAGAAUAAGCACCGGCUAACUUCGUG
rnacentral:rRNA from 1 species